UACGCAUGUAACCGCCAAUUGCAAUAUUUGAAAAAAGAACCCGAUCAACCACUGUUUUGCUGUUCAGAAGUCCGUCUAUAAUUCAUCAUAAACUAAAGGAACACAGGUCAGAUUCGGACAACGACUUCAAAUUCAUUCGCAGAAUACGCUAAACAAUUGGACGACGGAUACACUGGAUGAUAAUGUAGAUGGUCCAGGAUUAUCUGGGAAGGAAACUACAGGUGUUGAACACAGAAAACCGUUUACAAGAAAACAACUGGAGUUUGUGAAAGCUGCAAGAAAUUAAUCUUGCCGGGUACGCAUUCACUUCACCUUGGUCGAGUGCAGCACAGUGGAUAAAUGUGUUGCUGAAGAAAAACACCAUUGCUAGGAUUCAAACCCACGACACUCUGUUGAAAGGUGAGAGUCAGAACCACUAGACCACGACGCACCCACAAUUAACAAGCUGAUGUCAUACCCCCACUUGUUCUUUUGUAUUUUAUAACAAGAAGUCAUGUUUAUUCACAUUUUGACCUCCAAGAACUAAAAAGUGGAGUGAAGAUUUAUUUAAUGUAAACACAUGCAUUGCUUGAAAUCAUUUUAUGCUACGUGGGACAUAUCAUACACACGUGUACGAAAAUAUGAAAUUAUUAUGAUUUCAUUUUAUAACAUAAGCCUAACACAUAUUCCUGACGAUCAUGUGCACAUUCCAGUAAUUUUAACGAAAUUGUCAACAUUAUGCUUUUCUGAUUAAUUCUCUUCCUACCUAAAUCUCCCCUUUUCUCAUGCUUUCUUUCUAUGGUCCCCUUCAUUAUCCUUAUAACUAUGUUAUAUGUAAAAUGUAACCGGUCGUCCAACCCAUUUGAUUGAAGGGGUAGGUACUCUAGACUGAAAGUUAUGUGAUUUAAAUUCAAAGAGUACAUCAGACAAAAAAAAACACUGAAAAUUUUAUCAAAAUUGAAUGAGGAUUAACGAAAUUAUGACGAAUUAAAGUUGUUAUUUUUUGGUAAAACUGUUCUCUGCAAGUCCUCAUGAAUAUACAAGAUCCCAAUUUAUAUUUUUUUUGUAUUAUAUGAAUUCAAAUUUUGUCCAAGCUAGGUUGUAAAAAAUUACGAUUGACUACUGAUUUACUGUGUAAGACAAAAAUUAUAUUAUUUUCACACAUAGUUGAGUUAUUCAUCUGAUUCAACACAACAAAAAUAGACAAAAAAGAAAUAAGUGGGAAUCUUGUAUAUUUGAACUAUGGGAAAUAGUUAAAAAAUAGAUGUGCUACUAAGAAUUAUUUUCUAUAUGAUUUGCAAAAUAUAAAAAAAAGAUGUCGCUAUGUUUCUUGUUUUUUUUUCUAUUUUCAUGAUAUAUUCUUUAUUAUUCUAUUCUAUAUAUUCUAUUUUUGAUAUAGAUAUUAUUUAUUUCUUUAUGUAUCUUUAAUGUAUUUAUGAUAAACUUUUGGCAUGUUUCUACAGAAAAUCAUUAAAAACGAUUUAUCUUUUCCGGACUCGAAAAACCUUAUUGCCCUUAAACCAACCUGCUUCUACAAACCGAAUAAUCUGAUUAAUUCGCUUUUCGCGUUGCAAAUACGGCGGAAAUCGGAAAAUUCAACCUAUAACCUCACGUUGCAUUGUACAUAUGCCCAAAAUUGCAUCUUCUUAGGAAAAUUUUCAAAAUUUGUGGUAGAUCUCACUCAAUGUAGCAGGUAUACGUGUUGCACGAUCAGCUGGCGAGAUCGAAAAGGCCAGAAUGUGCAAAUAUAUGUACUGCAAAAUUGCACUUCCGGGAUUAAGCACGUCCGCCAGACACGAUACGCUAUUUUGCCGUGUGAUUUACAGAAAAGUUAAACGGAUUAACAUGGCAAUAACCACCUCUCAGAGAUGGUUAUGAGAAACCAUAUUUUGCUUGAAGCAGUUUAUCAAUAAACCGCAUCGCGUCUGUUUCUACAAAAUUCUACAGGAAAGAUUUCCGGGAUUCUGGAUAAUUACGCGGGUAAUACCUUUUAACGAUACUAUGUAGAAACACGCCGUUUGAUAUAUCUUUUAGGUGAAAAGAAAAUAGAGAAAUAUUAGGAGGUUCUAUUUUUAUGGGGGUACUAUUUUCCCCCCUUUUGGGGAUAUUUAUUUCCUCUAAGUUUGGUACUCUUUACCUUUAAUGAAUCAUUUGGCCAUGUGAAGGCUAUCACACAUUUUGAGUUUAAUCUUCGAAAUUUGGUGUUCAUCAGUUUGUUGUCCAAACUCUGUCUUACAUGUAGAUUUGUUUAUAGGAAGAUUAACAUAAUAUCUAUGUGGAGUGCAAUCAUUGACCUCUUGUAGAGUCGUGCAGUCACAUGUAUUCAUAAUGCUGGUGCUUUUAUGCCAUACAUGUACUUGUCAAUACUGGGUUCCACUCUUUUGUACUUUAACUCAUUAGUAAAAAAAAUAUUUUAUUAAUGUCAUUGAAGUAGCUGUGUGAAAGCAAUUACACACAACAGAUUUAAAAUCAAGGUUAUUGUAUUACAAGUAUCAGGUUUGUUUGCAGAACAGUGGUUUUGCCAAGUACUCAAUCCACGUAAAAAGCCAUCAGAGAGAACAUGUUUAUUCUUGGAAAUGUUAUUCAUUUGUUGUGUUUUUCAAUUAAACUCUGUCUUGAUACAUGUUUAUUUUAGAUACCAAGAUUGACAGAGUAUAGAUGUCAACGAGGAGCAAAGUCAUAUAUAUUCAUAACUUAUGUGCUUUAAUUAUAAAGUCUAUACUUGUGAAUACUGUGUUCCAUUUAUGCUGUACUUAAACUUCUUAUAGUAAAAACAUUUGACGUUCUUGAAAUAA